GGGUCAGUAGGUUGGUCGUGCCACCGGUACGUACUGGUCUCACUGAUUCCUCCUUCCUGAAGAACCGUAAUGCCAUUAAUGUGGUGUUGCGGGGAAACAGGACUGUUACCUUGAAAAAAUUAGAGUGUUUAAAGCAAGCUAACGCUUGAAUACAUUAGCAUGGAAUAAUGAAAUAGGACGAUCGAUCCUAUUUUGUUGGUUUCUAGGAUUGGCGUA
rnacentral:rRNA from 1 species